rnacentral:lncRNA from 1 species
CUUCCCCUUUUCCCAGAUACUGGCAGCAGCGUCUCUUCACAGGCAGGGCGGUCCUGGGAAGUCCCUCUGUAGCCCCGCUCCAGGUGUACAUGCACAGGGGUACAGGCGGGCACUCACAGGGACACACAGAGCCCGCCCCACAGCUGCGGCAUCCUCUUCCAGGACACAAGAAGAACAGUGACCCCCAGGGCGGCUGUCAGUCACUGUGCUCUCUGGGAAUACAAACUCAUUAAACGUUUCCCUGCCUUGUCCCAGGGGCCCUAGUCCCCGAGUCAAGCCUGACAAAUGUGCAGCUGAUCCUUUCAAAGCACAUCCUGUAUUUCUGACCCUGGAGAAGAGAUGAGGGGAUUACCUGCCUGGGCUUGACACCCCUUCAGGGUGCCUCCUCUGGUGUUAACAAUCGGAAGCCAACAACACCUGCUGGUCAGAGAUAGGGGAGCCUCAGAGACCCUUUAGCCCAAGGGAUGGGUCACAAACAAGGACUCAGUGGAGGGGAAUUUGAGAGAGCAGGCUGUGGCCUUGGACCCGGGCACUGCAUGAUGCUCCAGUGGAUAUGAAGGGGUCUAUUCCAGCCCAGCCCAGGAAAUCAUUCUAAAAGGGACCCUAUCUCUUUGCAAACCAAAUAACCUUCUCUCUGGGUGUGGGCAGAGGCCCUGGCAGCCCCCCAGUGCCUAUCACUGGUAGACCUAUCUCCUCCCUCCCUUUGGAGACCAGACCCUUCACCUUGCAGUCUGUAGGGUUUGGGCUGGGGUUGCCAGUCCCUGCCUCCCUCCUGGUCUCCUCCCUACUGCCUGCCAGAACUCUGCCCCAACUAGGCUUGGCCUCAGAAUAUACCUGGACCAGCCCCUCCCUUUCACUGUCCCUGCCCCACAGAAGUCCAAGGGCUCCUCAGCUCUCCAUGCACAGCACCCCCCACCUCUGGAGUGGGCUGAAAAACUCUGCUGUCCUGCUCAUCAUCCAGAAGGCCCUUCUUGUUCUGCAUUUCCUCCCACCGUUGUGUCCCACGGGGAGUCAUUUAUCUGAUCGACUGGCUCUCCUCAGUGCAAACAUUCACAGGAGCAUUAACAAGCCUAAAACCCAAUUAGCCUUCAAUUACUCAGGCCUUAGUCAGAUUUUCUGUGGUGGGGACAGGGUUGAGGAAUGUAUUUGGACACUGCCUGGGUGGUACUCCUGCCCUUUGGCCAACGCCCCCACCCAUGCACUAGCACUCCUGUUGCAGCCAGCCUGCUCUCCUCUGCGCUCCCUCCUGCCCUAUACCACCUUCUUUCCUUCUUAUUCUUCUCUCCUGACCCCUUUCCUACACCUCUCUAAAAACAAUCAUUGUUUUAAAAUGUACA